GUGAAUGAGGUCUGUUUCCCGUGAUCAUCCUAUUAAAACAAUCGGCCAAGUUGGUUCUUCAUAUCUCAGAUGAGUGGUGAGAUGGAGUAUGAAGCAACCAGUAAAGAAUUCCUGGUUUGUUUUCGGAGCCCAAGCCUCUGAGAGAACCAGGAAUGCUGGCAAAGGCAACAGAAGAAACACUUCUCAGGGGGAAGGUCUGGGGUUGCUUAUGGAUCCAGGGCAAGCAUCCCUUGUCCACAGGUUCUCCAGGGGUUGGCAAAAUCAGGCAUGUGCCUAUACAGACAAAUUGAAUGGCAAGUAUGGAGACCCAGGGCAGGAUUGGAGAGCCCUCUGCAGGCAGGUGGUCCUCACAUUGUGAGGGGUCCAGCUCUGUCUUAGCCCCUCCUUUCCCUGUCCAGCCACUGCACUAAUAGUUUAGCAGCAGAUGGGAAGGGGGAGCUCCGCAGACCUUGUCACUGCUGCCUGCAUUUGGCACAGGGUGCAGGCUGAAAUAGCACAUCCUUUCUAACUCCCUGGCUCGGCAGUUUUUUGUUUUUGUGAUUAAUGUCCAGUGCAAAGGUGAGUAAUGUAGCAAUUCAUUGUAAUUCGAGUUAUGGGGAAUAUAUGGACUCCUUCGCUCAGCAUCACCUUCUCCAAGUCCUUGUCACAUAAAAAGAAUCAUUACAUUGGGAAUACACUGCCAUCAGCCACAAGACCAAGCAGAGAUACAACUCACAUGCCCCAGCUAUCUCCACUGCUAGCAAUGCGAGCCCUUCUUUGUAGAACUGGACGAUGCUAACCGGACUCAAAGGAUAGAAAAGAAAGCUCUCCAUGUCUACUCUUUGGCCCUACCUGUUUUAACUACUAUCUAAAAAUGACCAGUCAAGUCUAAAUGACCCACAAGUCUAAAUGACCCUAAAUUCAUUUCAAUUUUAUAUUGUAUUAUUAUCACCUCAAAGUGACUUUUGAGCUCCCAGGAGAAGUUUGGGAGUGGGAUGAGGGGAAGAAAUCUGGUUGGCCAGCGUAGGAGGGCCUCCCACUCCAAUAGGUCCCGGAGAGCAUGGCUGCUGUCCCCUUGGGUGGGGGGCAGAACAGGUGAGUAGAUGAGAUGCAGUUGAGAGCCUUCGUACUGGCUUCCAGAUUCAAGGGAAGUGGUAAGAUGCCUGCAGGCCUGAGGACCCCAACUCUGCCAGCUUUGGAAGUAAGUGCACACCCCUUGGGGUUUCCAUAGCUCUAUAGGAAAGGGGGUGGAAUGCAGUGAAUCUGGAUUGCCUGUUCUGUCCUCUGAGACUGCAGUCAUGUUGUGCGGGUGUUCAUAUCAACUGGAAGUAUUUCUAAAUUCGUUAGCUGGUGGGGUCGGAGACCUUGGGUUCUUCUUUUACUAAUGCAAGAUAGAUGUAUCAAAGUUAGAAGGGUAAAAGUGCACUUGGAUGGGGUUGAGCAGUAUUAUCAUCUUUACGGAAAAAAUGCCCUGCCCGUGGAGAAGGUGCUGGAAGGUAAGGGAAGAGAGGAAUGAGCUCAGCCCCUAUGGAUUACCUGCAUUUGGCAGGUAAGUCCCCGUUGAUGCACUGUGGGUAUGUGCGUGCCUCCUUGUGCAUGCAUGUUGAGGGACAAGAGGAGCAGGGCAAGCCUCCCUGACCCAGGGCACCUGGUCCCACUGGGAUUUCCUGCCACACCCGGGUGUCUGUCACUCAGAUCUAGUCACCAAACCCACCAAAGCCCUGGAAGGGCACUGAGCAGAGGUGGGAAAGUCUCCUUCCACUAGCCCCUCUCACAGUGCUGGUGCCAGCCACUGCCUGCGCAAAUGGACCCCGUGCAUCGGAUCUUGAGCCCAGGUUAUUGUUCCCAGAGAUGUGUGAACAGCAGUACCUAGCUCCCAGGAAUGACAGCAUGUGUUACCUUUAAAAAAACCUCUCUUCAAUUUUACAGCACCCACAUUUCAGGAACAAACUUUGUGUGCAGUGUCUCUUCUGCUCUGCUGCCCCGCUCCCCGAGCCACAUCGAGGCUCCCUCCAUCUAGUGUGGUCUGAUUGAAAAUUCAAUUCAACUCACUUCAGAUAUGCAUUGAGCACCUUUAUGUUGGCAGCAAAGUGGUAAAAGCCAUAGGGGAUACAAAAUAAGUAUAAAGCACAUUUUUUGUCUUCAAAAAAAGUCUGCUGUGCUAUAGGGAACAACAUGGAGAAACAACAAGAGACCAACAUGAGACAGAAUAUAUUUACUCAUCAGAAUAUGUUGUUCUGACAUUAAGUGCAUUGGAUGUUCCAGAAAAAGAGAUCUCAGGGAGGGCCAGACUUGUCAGGGCAGAAAGGCAUCUUGGAGGGGCUGGGAGCUGGUUUGGGGCUUUGAAGGAUUGGGAGUGUUCAAAUAUGUAGCCAGAUCACAUGCAAAAUUUUUCCUGUUAUUUCAGGUUUUCUACUGAAGCCUUCAAGCUGAAAAUAACAUAACCUAAUUACUUGCACUGUCUAAGAGCUCAUGAAAGAGCUGUCAGCCAGGGCUUACUUAGAGGUGGCCUGGAUGUCCUACAGUCCUCAAUGGCCGCUCCCCAGUUCUGUGCCCCUCACGCCCUCCUACCAGUUUAUAAAAGCAGAUUAUAAAUGUGAGAGGAGGUCCUUACUGGGUUUUUUAGUAGUAGGUGGUCUGCCUGGUACGAAUGGGGGAUGUUUUCUCUCCUCUCCAUUUGGAAGAGGGUAGGGUUGUCCUCAUCUCCCCUAAGACAAGAGAGAAGAGAGCCUGGUGCCCACUACUGGGCUUGAUGCUUGCUGAGGAGUUGAAGCUGUAGGCCCAUUCUGGGGCUGUUCCUGGCACAGAGCACAGUGGGGGAGGUCUUGGGAGAACUUGGCACAGGUCCCCGGAUGAGAGAAGGUAUUGUGAGCAUAAAGACUGGUACCCACUUCUGGCAGGGGAAACUUGGAAGGAGGGGGAGGAGGGGAGCAGCCUGUGAUGUCAGAGCUGGGGGCUGCCUGCGUUCCCACCACAUGGCCUGCCAAGGAUUGGUCAGUGUCCUGUGGACCCAGUGGGUGCUGUGGAAGAAUAUAGAAGCAGAUUGAAGAGGGUGGCCUCCUGGGGGAAGACUCCGAGCCAUGCAAAGCUAUGGGGUGUAUGAAUGAGAAUAGGUGAGGGGAGACAUAUUCCAGGAAGGUGGUGAGGAGCUCAUCCUUCUUGUUCAGCAAUCAUGCAGCAUGGAGGUCCCCUGGGAGAACUCCCCAAACCCACAUGUGGCCCCAGUGUGGAAUACCUGUCAGAUCAAGGCUGUUGCUGGUAAAGGGGAACAGCACGAGUUAUGGAAGAGGGGCUCUUUCCCUCAUGCUUUUCCAGCCCUUGAGGAGGAAGAGGGAGGAUGGAGAGUGGGGAGGAGGAGUGCGGGGACCGACCAGGCUCUUUCUCUCUCUGUGCUAUGGGUCAGGCCCCCAACUGGGAGAAGGGGAAAGCCUUUACAUCGCAUGGGAGACUAGAUUUGAUUUUUCCUGGGCAGGACUUCCUAGCUCCUGAAAGGUGAGUCUCAAUGGUCCAAAUGAGACUCUUCUUUGUAACUGAUAGCACUGAACAGCCCUGAGAGCUGUUGUCCUAAGAUGCUAUCAGGGGGCAGGCAGGGAGAGGACCCAGAGUUCUACUGAAGGGCGUCUGCCCCUGGCACCCCCAGGAGGGCCAGCGAACUGAUUUCAGAGAGACAGGAGCACCAGGAAGGGCAGUUCAGGAAAACACAGGACCCAAGUGGGAGCCAUGGGUGGGGUGUGCCUGGAGUGUUGGGGGGUCUCGGUGACUUUGUCUGGUUGGAGGGGAGGGGACAGCAGAGACUCACUGUGGGAGACUUGAGAUAGGACUUCCAACAUUUUUGAGAGGAUUGGCAGCAGGAGGGGCUAAAGCAAGCAAACAAACAAACAAAAGGAAUAUCCCACUUCUCAAGCAGGUUUCCUGGGAAAGGCUCAUUCUCCACAAAACCACCUCCUCCUUCUUUCCUGAGCGUUUCUAGCCACCAGCCAACAUUUCUCCCCAGUGCACACUAGUUGGUGUGUUGUUGCCACGUGGGUUUGAGAGUCUGUCUUCUUGUAAUAUUCUCAUUUACCCAUUUGUAAACAGAGGCCCAACUGAGGGGGGUUCCUGGAAGGAGGGACGCUCCAUGCCUUUCUUUUCCAAUUCCCACAGGGGCAGGAAGACCCACUGAGCCUGCACUUGUGUGACUGGAUUUAAGUCAACUUGGACCCAGAGAUGAAAGUUUAAUUUCUUGUUUUAUAAAAUGAAUGAGGAACAAGCAGGAGACAGGAGGCGUUUUGGUUUGUGGGGCAUUGGAAGAAGCGACCCACCAUGGUUUCCUGAAGAGUGGAUUUCCAGAGGGUUUUAAUUAUGAUCACCGAGCUACAGCUUGGAGAGACACGGCUGCUCAAGAACCUAGAAGUGUAUUCCUGUGGCUAUGCAAGAAGGCACCCAUCAUUUCCCCAAUCAACUUCACCACUGUCAUCAUCAUCAUCACCAACAUCAUCCGCAUGAGAAUCAUCUUCACCGUUGUCUCCAGCAUCAUCACCACCAUCACCACCAGCAGCCUCUCCUUCACUAUUAUCACCAUCAUCUUCAUCACCA